GACGAACGCUGGCGGCGUGCUUAACACAUGCAAGUCGAACGGAAAGGCCCUGCUUUUGUGGGGUGCUCGAGUGGCGAACGGGUGAGUAACACGUGAGUAACCUGCCCUUGACUUUGGGAUAACUUCAGGAAACUGUGGCUAAUACCGGAUAGGAGCUCCGCUGCAUGGUGGGGGUUGGAAAGUUUCGGCGGUUGGGGAUGGACUCGCGGCUUAUCAGCUUGUUGGUGGGGUAGUGGCUUACCCAGGCUUUGACGGGUAGCCGGCCUGAGAGGGUGACCGGCCACAUUGGGACUGAGAUACGGCCCAGACGCCUACGGGAGGCAGCAGUGGGGAAUAUUGCACAAUGGGCGGAAGCCUGAUGCAGCAACGCCGCGUGCGGGAUGACGGCCUUCGGGUUGUAAACCGCUUUCGCCUGUGACGAAGCGUGAGUGACGGUAAUGGGUAAAGAAGCACCGGCUAACUACGUG
rnacentral:rRNA from 1 species